rnacentral:rRNA from 1 species
CCUACGGGAGGCAGCAGUGAGGAAUAUUGGUCAAUGGGCGGAAGGCUGAACCAGCCAAGCCGCGUGAAGGAAGAAGGUGCCAAGGAUUGUAAACUUCUUUUGUCAAGGAACAAAAUCAGGGACGAGAGCCUGACCGAGGGGAAUUGAGGAAAAAGCAACGGGUAACUCCGUGGCAGCAGCCGCGGUAAUACGGAGGAUGCGGACGUUAACCGGUUUUAUUGGGGUUAAAGGGUGCGUAGGCGGACUGUUAAGUCAGCGGUAAAAGCCCGGGGCUCAACCCCGGCGAGCCGUUGAAACGGGCUGUCUUGAGAUGUCGAGAGGAAUGCGGAAUGCGUGGUGUAGCGGUGAAAUGCUUAGAUAUUGCGCAGAACCCCGAUUGCGAAGGCAGCAUACCGGCGGCGAUCUGACGCUGAGGCACGAAAGCGUGGGUAUCGAACAGGAUUAGAUACCCCUGUAGUC